UACCAAGCUACCUGACACAGUAGGCUUGCUUUUUCCACGUGAGGGAAUAGGCAGCAUUUGUCCUGAGGUAUUUCUUCAACGCAUCACUUGGCCAGCAGAGGAGGAUGAUGAAGAUGAUGAUUGGUCAGGUGAAACCAAAUGCCGCAUCUCAGGGUAUCUUCGAGAGUUCAUUACAAAUGGAACAACAACAGAUCUGAUGAACCUGGUCAAAUUCUGGACCGGAUGGGAGAUUCUUCCAACAACUCUCUCUGUGGAGAUAGUCAAAGGUAGAUAUCCCACAGCCUCCACCUGCUACGAGACCUUGCGAAUUCCUGGACACUACAAGGAUUACAUGUCUUUUAAGAGUGAUAUCCUUGCCUGUAUCAGCACUUGCAGUACAGGAUUUGGUCUUGUGUGAGCUCAAAAUUUUGUUUGUUCUCUGUUUUCCCAAAAAGAUUGUUGCAUUAAGAAUUCUGGAGUAGCAUAUUGUUAACAUGGUGUUAUUUGUUAAACAGUUCUUUCAAGUAGAUUGAGUUUAAAAUGUUCUAUGACGUGAACUACAACUUUAAAAGUAGCAUUCAUAUUUAAAAAGCCAAGGAAAACUUGUUCAUAACCUUACUUUGUCUAAUGUAAAACUGAAUAAGAAUGCAUGUUUAACAUAACUGUUUACAAUGUUUGCUUACAGUAUGCAAUAAGAAAAUACAAACUGGAGUUAAGUGAAUCUCACUGAACUAUAGUGUCAAAAAAUGUGAGAAAU